rnacentral:lncRNA from 1 species
GUAAUAAAGCCCGUAAGUAUGGACACGCUCUUGAUGUAAUUUUGUUUUAUGUCUGACAUUAUGAAAAGAAAGUUCGUUGCCCUUGAAAUUUCGGGCAAGAACUAUAUGACAUGGGUGUUGGAUGUUGAAAUCCAUUUGGAUGAAAUGGGUCCUGCAGACGCCAUUAAAGACAGAAAUAAUGCAUCCACCCAAGACUGUGCUAAGACCUUGUUUUUCUUGCGCCAUCACCUUGAUGAAGGUUUGAAAAUUGAAUAUAUC